UCUAAUAUGGCAGAUUAGUGCAUUGGAUUUAAGCCCCAAUUAUAAAGAUUUAUCUUUUUUUAGAA
rnacentral:tRNA from 1 species